rnacentral:rRNA from 1 species
CCUACGGGAGGCAGCAGUGGGGAAUAUUGCACAAUGGGGGAAACCCUGAUGCAGCGACGCCGCGUGAGUGAAGAAGUAAUUCGUUAUGGAAAGCUCUAUCAGCAGGGGAGUAAAUGACGGUACCUGAGUAAGAAGCCCCGGCUAACUACGUGCCAGCAGCCGCGGUAAUACGUAGGGGGCCAGCGUUAUCCGGAUUUACUGGGUGUAAAGGGAGCGUAGAGGGCAGUGCAAGUCAGGAGUGAAAGUCGGGGGCUCAACCCCUGGACUGCACUGGAAACUGUACGGCUGGAGUGCAGGAGAGGUAAGUGGAAUUCGUGGUGUAGCGGUGAAAUGCGUAGAUAUCAGGAAGAACACCGGUGGCGAAGGCAGCUUACUGGACUGUAACUGACGUUGAGGCUCGAAAGCGUGGGGAGCAAACAGGAUUAGAUACCCUAGUAGUC